GAUGAAGAACGCAGCGAAAUGCGAUAAGUAAUGUGAAUUGCAGAAUUCAGUGAAUCAUCGAAUCUUUGAACGCACCUUGCGCUCCUUGGUAUUCCGAGGAGCAUGCCUGUUUGAGUGUCAUUAAUAUAUCAACCUUCACUUGUUGAAUGGUUUGGAUGUGGGGGUUUGCUGGUCUCUUAAAGGGUUCAGCUCCUCUAAAAUGCAUUAGCAGAACAAUCUGUUCAUUGGUGUGAUAACUAUCUACGCUCUUGAAUAAGAUGCAGUUCAGCUUUCUAACUGUCCUCGGACAAUUUAUCAUUUAUGUGACCUCAAAUCAGGUAGGACUACCCGCUGAACUUAAGCAUAUCAAUAAGCGGAGA
rnacentral:misc_RNA from 1 species